AGUUUGAUCCUGGCUCAGGAUGAACGCUGGCGGUAUGCUUAACACAUGCAAGUCGAACGCAGUCCUUCGGGGCUGAGUGGCGGACGGGUGAGUAACGCGUGAGAAUCUGCCUAAAGGACUGGGACAACAGCUGGAAACGGCUGCUAAUACCAGAUAUGCCAGAAAGUGAAAAGGGGUAACCCGCCUUUUGAUGAGCUCGCGUCUGAUUAGCUAGUUGGUAGGGUAAAGGCCUACCAAGGCACCGAUCAGUAACUGGUCUGAGAGGAUGACCAGUCACACUGGGACUGAGACACGGCCCAGACUCCUACGGGAGGCAGCAGUGGGGAAUAUUGCACAAUGGGCGCAAGCCUGAUGCAGCCAUGCCGCGUGUAUGAAGAAGGCCUUCGGGUUGUAAAGUACUUUCAGUCAGGAGGAAGGGUGUGAAAUUAAUACUUUCAUGCAUUGACGUUACUGACAGAAGAAGCACCCGCUAACUCCGUGCCAGCAGCCGCGGUAA
rnacentral:rRNA from 1 species